rnacentral:rRNA from 1 species
CACGGGGGGAGCAAGCGUUGUUCGGAAUCACUGGGCGUAAAGCGCACGUAGGCGGAUCUUUAAGUCAGGGGUGAAAUCCUGGAGCUCAACUCCAGAACUGCCUUUGAUACUGAAGAUCUUGAGUCCGGGAGAGGUGAGUGGAACUGCGAGUGUAGAGGUGAAAUUCGUAGAUAUUCGCAAGAACACCAGUGGCGAAGGCGGCUCACUGGCCCGGUACUGACGCUGAGGCACGAAAGCGUGGGGAGCAAACAGGG